rnacentral:rRNA from 1 species
CUACGGGGUGCACCAGUGGGGAAUAUUGCACAAUGGGGGGAACCCUGAUGCAGCAACGCCGCGUGGAGGAUGACGCAUUUCGGUGUGUAAACUCCUUUUAUAUGUCAAGAAAAUGACGGUAGCAUAUGAAUAAGCACCGGCUAACUCCGUGCCAGCAGCCGCGGUAAUACGGAGGGUGCAAGCGUUACUCGGAAUCACUGGGCGUAAAGGACGCGUAGGCGGGUUGGAAAGUCAGGUGUGAAAUCCUACAGCUUAACUGUAGAACUGCACUUGAAACUUCUAAUCUAGAGUAUGGGAGGGGGAGAUGGAAUUAGUGGUGUAGGGGUAAUAUCCGUAGAUAUCACUAGGAAUACCUAAAGCGAAGGCGAUCUCCUGGAACAUUACUGACGCUAAGGCGUGAAAGCGUGGGGAGCAAACAGGAUUAGAUACCCCUGUAGUC